rnacentral:rRNA from 1 species
UCUGGCUCAGGACAAACGCUGGCGGCGUGCCUAAUACAUGCAAGUCGAACGAGAAGCAGGAGCUUGCUCCUGUGGAAAGUGGCGGACGGGUGAGUAAUAUGUAGGAAAUCUGCCCUUAGGUGGGGGGACAACAGUUGGAAACGACUGCUAAUACCGCACAUGUGCUUGGUUGAAAUACCAAUCAUGAAAGAUUUAUUGCCUGAGGAUGAGCCUGCAUCUGAUUAGCUUGUUGGUGGUGUAAAGGACUACCAAGGCGACGAUCAGUAGCUGGUUUGAGAGGAUGAUCAGCCACAAUGGGACUGAGACACGGCCCAUACUCCUACGGGAGGCAGCAGUAGGGAAUUUUGCGCAAUGGGCGAAAGCCUGACGCAGCCAACGCCGCGUGAGCGAUGAAGCCCCUCGGGGUGUAAAGCUCUGUCAGUAGGGAUGAAUUUUGACCGUACCUACAGAGGAAGCAUCGGCUAACUACGUGCCAGCAGCUGC